rnacentral:rRNA from 1 species
UACGGGGGGGGGCAAGCGUUGUUCGGAAUUACUGGGCGUAAAGGGCUCGUAGGCGGCCAACUAAGUCAGACGUGAAAUCCCUCGGCUUAACCGGGGAACUGCGUCUGAUACUGGAUGGCUUGAGUUUGGGAGAGGGAUGCGGAAUUCCAGGUGUAGCGGUGAAAUGCGCAGAUAUCUGGAGGAAUACCGGUGGCGAAGGCGGCAUCCUGGACCGGCAUUGACGCUGAUGAGCGAAAGCUAGGGGAGCAAACGGGG